rnacentral:rRNA from 1 species
GAUGAACGCUGGCGGCGUGCCUAACACAUGCAAGUCGAACGAGUGGCGGACGGGUGAGUAAUGUCUGGGAAACUGCCUGAUGGAGGGGGAUAACUACUGGAAACGGUAGCUAAUACCGCAUACCAUCGGAUGUGCCCAGAUGGGAUUAGCUAGUAGGUGGGGUAAAGGCUCACCUAGGAGACGAUCCCUAGCUGGUCUGAGAGGAUGACCAGCCAAACUGGAACUGAGACACGGGCCAGACUCCUACGGGAGGCAGCAGUGGGGAAUAUGGCACAAUGGGCGCAAGCCUGAUGCAGCCAUGCCGCGUGGAUGAAGAAGGCCUGCGGGUGGUAAAGUACUGUCAGCGGGGAGGCGUUACCCGAAGAAGAAGCACCGGCUAACUCCGUGCCAGCAGCCGCGGUAAUAC